CGAAUGCUGACAUAAGUAACGAUAAAGCGGGUGAAAAGCCCGCUCGCCGGAAGACCAAGGGUUCCUGUCCAACGUUAAUCGGGGCAGGGUGAGUCGACCCCUAAGGCGAGGCCGAAAGGCGUAGUCGAUGGGAAACAGGUUAAUAUUCCUGUACUUGGUGUUACUGCGAAGGGGGGACGGAGAAGGCUAUGUUGGCCGGGCGACGGUUGUCCCGGUUUAAGCGUGUAGGCUGGUUUUCCAGGCAAAUCCGGAAAAUCAAGGCUGAGGCGUGAUGACGAGGCACUACGGUGCUGAAGCAACAAAUGCCCUGCUUCCAGGAAAAGCCUCUAAGCAUCAGGUAACAUCAAAUCGUACCCCAAACCGACACAGGUGGUCAGGUAGAGAAUACCAAGGCGCUUGAGAGAACUCGGGUGAAGGAACUAGGCAAAAUGGUGCCGUAACUUCGGGAGAAGGCACGCUGAUAUGUAGGUGAAGUCCCUCGCGGAUGGAGCUGAAAUCAGUCGAAGAUACCAGCUGGCUGCAACUGUUUAUUAAAAACACAGCACUGUGCAAACACGAAAGUGGACGUAUACGGUGUGACGCCUGCCCGGUGCCGGAAGGUUAAUUGAUGGGGUUAGCGCAAGCGAAGCUCUUGAUCGAAGCCCCGGUAAACGGCGGCCGUAACUAUAACGGUCCUAAGGUAGCGAAAUUCCUUGUCGGGUAAGUUCCGACCUGCACGAAUGGCGUAAUGAUGGCCAGGCUGUCUCCACCCGAGACUCAGUGAAAUUGAACUCGCUGUGAAGAUGCAGUGUACCCGCGGCAAGACGGAAAGACCCCGUGAACCUUUACUAUAGCUUGACACUGAACAUUGAGCCUUGAUGUGUAGGAUAGGUGGGAGGCUUUGAAGUGUGGACGCCAGUCUGCAUGGAGCCGACCUUGAAAUACCACCCUUUAAUGUUUGAUGUUCUAACGUGGACCCGUAAUCCGGGUUGCGGACAGUGUCUGGUGGGUAGUUUGACUGGGGCGGUCUCCUCCUAAAGAGUAACGGAGGAGCACGAAGGUUGGCUAAUCCUGGUCGGACAUCAGGAGGUUAGUGCAAUGGCAUAAGCCAGCUUGACUGCGAGCGUGACGGCGCGAGCAGGUGCGAAAGCAGGUCAUAGUGAUCCGGUGGUUCUGAAUGGAAGGGCCAUCGCUCAACGGAUAAAAGGUACUCCGGGGAUAACAGGCUGAUACCGCCCAAGAGUUCAUAUCGACGGCGGUGUUUGGCACCUCGAUGUCGGCUCAUCACAUCCUGGGGCUGAAGUAGGUCCCAAGGGUAUGGCUGUUCGCCAUUUAAAGUGGUACGCGAGCUGGGUUUAGAACGUCGUGAGACAGUUCGGUCCCUAUCUGCCGUGGGCGCUGGAGAACUGAGGGGGGCUGCUCCUAGUACGAGAGGACCGGAGUGGACGCAUCACUGGUGUUCGGGUUGUCAUGCCAAUGGCACUGCCCGGUAGCUAAAUGCGGAAGAGAUAAGUGCUGAAAGCAUCUAAGCACGAAACUUGCC
rnacentral:rRNA from 2 species